rnacentral:rRNA from 1 species
ACUGGUGUCAGCCGCCGCGGUAAUACCAGCUCUCCGAGUGGUAGGGAUGAUUAUUGGGCCUAAAGCGUUCGUAGCCGGCCUGGCAAGUCUCUCGUUAAAUCCAGCGACUUAAUCGCUGGGCUGCGGGAGAUACUGUUGGGCUUGGGAGCGGAAGAGGCCGACGGUAUUCUCGGGGUAGGGGUGAAAUCCUGUAAUCCCGGGAGGACCACCAGUGGCGAAGGCUGUCGGCUAGAACGUGUCCGACGGUGAGGGACGAAAGCUGGGGGAGCGAACCGGAUUAGAUACCCGGGUAGUCCAAGCUGUAAACGAUGCGGGCUAGGUGUUGGGGUGGCUACGGGCCACUUCAGUGCCGCAGUGAAAGCGUUAA